GGGUUGUGAGGUUAAGCGACUAAGCGUACACGGUGGAUGCCCUGGCAGUCAGAGGCGAUGAAGGACGUGCUAAUCUGCGAUAAGCGUCGGUAAGGUGAUAUGAACCGUUAUAACCGGCGAUUUCCGAAUGGGGAAACCCAGUGUGAUUCGUCACACUAUCAUUAACUGAAUCCAUAGGUUAAUGAGGCGAACCGGGGGAACUGAAACAUCUAAGUACCCCGAGGAAAAGAAAUCAACCGAGAUUCCCCCAGUAGCGGCGAGCGAACGGGGAGCAGCCCAGAGCCUGAAUCAGUGUGUGUGUUAGUGGAAGCGUCUGGAAAGGCGCGCGAUACAGGGUGACAGCCCCGUACACAAAAAUGCACAUAUUGUGAGCUCGAUGAGUAGGGCGGGACACGUGGUAUCCUGUCUGAAUAUGGGGGGCCCAUCCUCCAAGGCUAAAUACUCCUGACUGACCGAUAGUGAACCAGUACCGUGAGGGAAAGGCGAAAAGAACCCCGGCGAGGGGAGUGAAAAAGAACCUGAAACCGUGUACGUACAAGCAGUGGGAGCACGCUUAGGCGUGUGACUGCGUACCUUUUGUAUAAUGGGUCAGCGACUUAUAUUCUGUAGCAAGGUUAACCGAAUAGGGGAGCCGAAGGGAAACCGAGUCUUAACUGGGCGUUAAGUUGCAGGGUAUAGACCCGAAACCCGGUGAUCUAGCCAUGGGCAGGUUGAAGGUUGGGUAACACUAACUGGAGGACCGAACCGACUAAUGUUGAAAAAUUAGCGGAUGACUUGUGGCUGGGGGUGAAAGGCCAAUCAAACCGGGAGAUAGCUGGUUCUCCCCGAAAGCUAUUUAGGUAGCGCCUCGUGAAUUCAUCUCCGGGGGUAGAGCACUGUUUCGGCAAGGGGGUCAUCCCGACUUACCAACCCGAUGCAAACUGCGAAUACCGGAGAAUGUUAUCACGGGAGACACACGGCGGGUGCUAACGUCCGUCGUGAAGAGGGAAACAACCCAGACCGCCAGCUAAGGUCCCAAAGUCAUGGUUAAGUGGGAAACGAUGUGGGAAGGCCCAGACAGCCAGGAUGUUGGCUUAGAAGCAGCCAUCAUUUAAAGAAAGCGUAAUAGCUCACUGGUCGAGUCGGCCUGCGCGGAAGAUGUAACGGGGCUAAACCAUGCACCGAAGCUGCGGCAGCGACGCUUAUGCGUUGUUGGGUAGGGGAGCGUUCUGUAAGCCUGCGAAGGUGUGCUGUGAGGCAUGCUGGAGGUAUCAGAAGUGCGAAUGCUGACAUAAGUAACGAUAAAGCGGGUGAAAAGCCCGCUCGCCGGAAGACCAAGGGUUCCUGUCCAACGUUAAUCGGGGCAGGGUGAGUCGACCCCUAAGGCGAGGCCGAAAGGCGUAGUCGAUGGGAAACAGGUUAAUAUUCCUGUACUUGGUGUUACUGCGAAGGGGGGACGGAGAAGGCUAUGUUGGCCGGGCGACGGUUGUCCCGGUUUAAGCGUGUAGGCUGGUUUUCCAGGCAAAUCCGGAAAAUCAAGGCUGAGGCGUGAUGACGAGGCACUACGGUGCUGAAGCAACAAAUGCCCUGCUUCCAGGAAAAGCCUCUAAGCAUCAGGUAACAUCAAAUCGUACCCCAAACCGACACAGGUGGUCAGGUAGAGAAUACCAAGGCGCUUGAGAGAACUCGGGUGAAGGAACUAGGCAAAAUGGUGCCGUAACUUCGGGAGAAGGCACGCUGAUAUGUAGGUGAAGUCCCUUGCGGAUGGAGCUGAAAUCAGUCGAAGAUACCAGCUGGCUGCAACUGUUUAUUAAAAACACAGCACUGUGCAAACACGAAAGUGGACGUAUACGGUGUGACGCCUGCCCGGUGCCGGAAGGUUAAUUGAUGGGGUCAGCGCAAGCGAAGCUCUUGAUCGAAGCCCCGGUAAACGGCGGCCGUAACUAUAACGGUCCUAAGGUAGCGAAAUUCCUUGUCGGGUAAGUUCCGACCUGCACGAAUGGCGUAAUGAUGGCCAGGCUGUCUCCACCCGAGACUCAGUGAAAUUGAACUCGCUGUGAAGAUGCAGUGUACCCGCGGCAAGACGGAAAGACCCCGUGAACCUUUACUAUAGCUUGACACUGAACAUUGAGCCUUGAUGUGUAGGAUAGGUGGGAGGCUUUGAAGUGUGGACGCCAGUCUGCAUGGAGCCGGCCUUGAAAUACCACCCUUUAAUGUUUGAUGUUCUAACGUGGACCCGUGAUCCGGGUUGCGGACAGUGUCUGGUGGGUAGUUUGACUGGGGCGGUCUCCUCCUAAAGAGUAACGGAGGAGCACGAAGGUUGGCUAAUCCUGGUCGGACAUCAGGAGGUUAGUGCAAUGGCAUAAGCCAGCUUGACUGCGAGCGUGACGGCGCGAGCAGGUGCGAAAGCAGGUCAUAGUGAUCCGGUGGUUCUGAAUGGAAGGGCCAUCGCUCAACGGAUAAAAGGUACUCCGGGGAUAACAGGCUGAUACCGCCCAAGAGUUCAUAUCGACGGCGGUGUUUGGCACCUCGAUGUCGGCUCAUCACAUCCUGGGGCUGAAGUAGGUCCCAAGGGUAUGGCUGUUCGCCAUUUAAAGUGGUACGCGAGCUGGGUUUAGAACGUCGUGAGACAGUUCGGUCCCUAUCUGCCGUGGGCGCUGGAGAACUGAGGGGGGCUGCUCCUAGUACGAGAGGACCGGAGUGGACGCAUCACUGGUGUUCGGGUUGUCAUGCCAAUGGCACUGCCCGGUAGCUAAAUGCGGAAGAGAUAAGUGCUGAAAGCAUCUAAGCACGAAACUUGCCCCGAGAUGAGUUCUCCCUGACCCUUUAAGGGUCCUGAAGGAACGUUGAAGACGACGACGUUGAUAGGCCGGGUGUGUAAGCGCAGCGAUGCGUUGAGCUAACCGGUACUAAUGAACCGUGAGGCUUAACCUUACAACGCCGAAG
rnacentral:rRNA from 1 species